UAAGAUGGCUGAAAUAGUGGUGGAUUGUAGCUCCAUGUAUAAAGGUUUAAAUCCUUUUCUUAC
rnacentral:tRNA from 1 species